CUUGUACUCCUUCCAUCCGAAAAUACUUGUCAUCGAAAUGGAUGUAUCUAGAUGUAUUUUAGUUCUAGACACAUCCAUUUUGAUGACAAGUAAUUCCGGACGGAGGGAGUACUUG
rnacentral:pre_miRNA from 1 species